UACAGAGGUCUCAAGCGUUGUUCGGAUUCAUUGGGCGUAAAGGGUGCGUAGGUGGCGCUGUAAGUCAGGUGUGAAAUUUCGAGGCUUAACCUCGAAACUGCAUUUAAUACUGCGGUGCUUGAGGACUGGAGAGGAGACUGGAAUUUACGGUGUAGCAGUGAAAUGCGUAGAGAUCGUAAGGAAGACCAGUGGCGAAGGCGGGUCUCUGGACAGUUCCUGACACUGAGGCACGAAGGCCAGGGGAGCAAACGGG
rnacentral:rRNA from 1 species